rnacentral:rRNA from 1 species
CGUAGUCGGAUGUCGGGCUUGGGCAGGCUGUCGGCGUUUGUCGGACGGCAGGCUCGGGCCUUUCUGCCUGGGGACCUCGUUGCACUUCAUUGUGGGGCGAUGGGACGCAGGCCGUUUACUUUGAAAAAAUUAGAGUGUUCAAAGCAGGCCUACGCUUGAAUACAUUAGCAUGGAAUAAUGGAAUAGGACUUUGGUGCCAUUCUGUUGGUUUAUGGAACCGAAGUAAUGAUUAAUAGGGACAGUUGGGGCCGUUUAUAUUUCGUUGUCAGAGGUGAAAUUCUUGGAUUUACGAAAGAUAAACUUCUGCGAAAGCAUUCGGCAAGGAUGUUUUCAUUGAUCAAGAACGAAAGUUAGGGGAUCGAAGACGAUCAGAUACCGUCGUAGUCUUAACCAUAAACUAUGCCGACUAGGGAUCAGUGGAUGUCAAUUUGCGACUCCAUUGGCACCUUGUGAGAAAUCAAAGUUUUUGGGUUCCGGGGGGAGUAUGGUCGC